AACGAACGCUGGCGGCAGGCCUAACACAUGCAAGUCGAGCGGACAUUUCGGUGUCAGCGGCGGACGGGUGAGGAAUACAUAGAUACCUGCCUUAAAGUCUGGGAUAGCGACUGGAAACGGUCGGUAAUACUGGAUACGCCCUACGGGGGAAAGAUUUAUCGCUUUAAGAUGGUUUUAUGUCGGAUUAGCUAGUUGGUGAGGUAAGUGCUUACCAAGGCUAUGAUCCGUAGCUGGUCUGAGAGGAUGAUCAGCCACACUGGGACUGAGACACGGCCCAGACUCCUACGGGAGGCAGCAGUGGGGAAUUUUGCGCAAUGGACGAAAGUCUGACGCAGCGACAUCGCGUGAGGGAUUAAGGCCUUCGGGUUGUAAACCUCUUUUUGGGAGCUAUGAAAGCGCCCAGAAUAAGCAACUACUAACUACGUGCCAGCCGCCGCUGUAA
rnacentral:rRNA from 1 species